CCCUGUGGCACUUUUUCGUCCCAGUAUUUUUUAUAAAUCCGGAAAAAAAUCCUCGUUGAUUUUUACGGCUUUUGGAGUUGCGCAGAAUAGGUAUCUCAACUUUGCUCCACUUUCAGGCUAGAAUUCCAGUUGCCAGCAUUCUCCCUCUUCAUGUAAAACCUUGCAAAAUAAGAGAGAAAAGGCAUAAGAAUUGUACCGUGAAGUGAAACAACAGCCAAAGAAGCGAUAAAUAUCAACAUGAAAACAUGAUGCAAAAUGGACGUAUCAAAGCACAAGAAUGAUCAUCAAACUACUCUUGAAAAGAUACAAGUGAAGUUCAUAGAGCAUUCUUCAACGAAUAUAGAGAGACCAAUAUCCAAGCUCAAAAUAUAUAAGUGAAGCACACGAAGCAUUCUAUAAAGCCACACUCACAAGAUUUAAGUGAAGCACAUGAAGAAUUCCAUAAAUCAACCAAGGAUUGUAUCAUACCAGCAUGGUGCAUAAAAUAAAAGGGAAUAGUAAACACAAAAUAUGCUCCAAGAAUAGCACAUGUGAAGGAGUGAAAACUUAGGACCAACAUUGGCUAAUCAAUAAUUGGUGACGAAGAGAGGUGGGAUGCGUAGCAUACCCAAGAUUAGAUUCUUGAAACUUCUUGUAAUAUUUGCUUGGGGUGCCUUUGGAAUCCCAAAUCUUGAGCUAUUGUACCCCGUUCAAUCUUCUCAUAUCCUGGUUUCACAUAAGUCUCAGAAACUUCACCCACACAAAACUUGAAAAGAACUUGUGAGAUAGGUUAGUACACAUAAGAAUAAAUCUACACUUCAUGUACUGCAAAAACAAGCUUCAUAAUAGUUUUCAAACAGUAGUUACUGUAUAC
rnacentral:lncRNA from 1 species